CAAUAGCGUAUAUUAAAGCUGUUGCGGUUAAAAAGCUCGUAGUUGGAUUUCUGUCAAGGACAACUGGUCCGCCCUCCGGGUGAGCACAUAGUUUGGUCUUGGCAUCUUGCUGGAAACUGUUGCUGCGCUUGGUUGUGUGGUGCAGCUUUCAGCACUUUCACUUUGAGGAAAUUGGAGUGUUUCAAGCAGGCACAUGCCUUUGGACACAGUAGCAUGGAAUAAUUAGAUUGGGCUUUUGCUCCAACUUGUUGGUUCCUGGAGCUGAGGUGAGAAUCAAUGGGGAUUGUUGGGGGCAUCCGAAUUUAGCCGUCAGAGGUGAAAUUCUUGGAUCUGCUAAAGACGGACAACUGCGAAAGCGUCUGCCAAGGAUGUUUUCAUUAA
rnacentral:rRNA from 1 species